rnacentral:rRNA from 1 species
UAAACUAGGAUUAGAUACCCUAUUAUUUUAAAUGUUAAGUUUUAAUAUCAAAUUAGUAAUAGUUAUUUUCUUGAAAAUUAAAAAAUUUGGCGGUAUUUUAGUCUUUUCAGAGGAACCUGUCCUGUAAUUGAUAGUCCACGAUAAUUUAUACUUUUUUUAUUAAUUUACAUAUCGUCGUAGUUUAAAUAUUUUAAUAGAAUAAUAAUAUUUAUAAUUUUUUAUUAAAAAAUAAAUCAGAUCAAGGUGUAGUAUAUAAAAAAGAAGAGAUGGGUUACAUUAAAUUUAUUUUUGGAUAAUUUUUUUAAAAAAAAUUUGAAUUUGGAUUUGAAAGUAAUUUUUUAUAUUUAUUUAAAAUGAUUAAAGCUCUAAAAUAUGCACACAUCGCCCGUCGCUCUUAA